rnacentral:rRNA from 1 species
UCGACGGAGCACCCCUGAAGGAGUUUUCGGACACGGAAGGGAAUGCUUAGUGGCGGACUGGUGAGUAACGCGUGAGGAACCUGCCUUCCAGAGGGGGACAACAGUUGGAAACGACUGCUAAUACCGCGUGAUACGUUGGAGCCGCAUGACUCCGACGUCAAAGAUUUAUCGCUGGAAGAUGGCCUCGCGUCUGAUUAGCUAGUUGGUGAGGUAACGGCCCACCAAGGCGACGAUCAGUAGCCGGACUGAGAGGUUGGCCGGCCACAUUGGGACUGAGAUACGGCCCAGACUCCUACGGGAGGCAGCAGUGGGGAAUAUUGGGCAAUGGACGCAAGUCUGACCCAGCAACGCCGCGUGAAGGAAGAAGGCUUUCGGGUUGUAAACUUCUUUUAAGGGGGAAGAGCAGAAGACGGUACCCCUUGAAUAAGCCACGGCUAACUACGUGCCAGCAGCCGCGGUAAUACGUAGGUGGCAAGCGUUGUCCGGAUUUACUGGGUGUAAAGGGCGUGCAGCCGGAGAGACAAGUCAGAUGUGAAAUCCACGGGCUCAACCCGUGAACUGCAUUUGAAACUGUUUCCCUUGAGUGUCAGAGAGGUAAUCGGAAUUCCUUGUGUAGCGGUGAAAUGCGUAUAUAUAAGGAAGAACACCAGUGGCGAAGGCGGAUUACUGGACGAUAACUGA